GACGAACGCUGGCGGCGUGCCUAAUACAUGCAAGUUGAGCGAUGAAGAUUGGUGCUUGCACCAAUUUGAAGAGCAGCGAACGGGUGAGUAACGCGUGGGGAAUCUGCCUUUGAGCGGGGGACAACAUUUGGAAACGAAUGCUAAUACCGCAUAACAACUUUAAACAUAAGUUUUAAGUUUGAAAGAUGCAAUUGCAUCACUCAAAGAUGAUCCCGCGUUGUAUUAGCUAGUUGGUGAGGUAAAGGCUCACCAAGGCGAUGAUACAUAGCCGACCUGAGGGGGUGAUCGGCCACAUUGGGACUGAGACACGGCCCAAACUCCUACGGGAGGCAGCAGUAGGGAAUCUUCGGCAAUGGACGAAAGUCUGACCGAGCAACGCCGCGUGAGUGAAGAAGGUUUUCGGAUCGUAAAACUCUGUUGGUAGAGAAGAACGUUGGUGAGAGUGGAAAGCUCAUCAAGUGACGGUAACUACCCAGAAAGGGACGGCUAACUACGUG
rnacentral:rRNA from 1 species